AUAUGCUUGUCUCANAGAUUAAGCCAUGCAUGUCUCAGUACAAGCCAAAUUAAGGUGAAACCGCGAAAGGCUCAUUAAAUCAGUUAUGGUUCCUUAGAUCGUACCCACACUUACUUGGAUAACUGUGGUAAUUCUAGAGCUAAUACAUGCAAAUAGAGCUCCGACCGGAGACGGAAGGAGUGCUUUUAUUAGAUCAAAACCAAUCGGUGGCGGGUUUACCCUCGUCAUCGUACAACUGGUGACUCUGAAUAACUUUACGCUGAUCGCAUGGUCUUUGUACCGGCGACGCAUCUUUCAAAUGUCUGCCUUAUCAACUGUCGAUGGUAGGUUCUGCGCCUACCAUGGUUGUAACGGGUAACGGGGAAUCAGGGUUCGAUUCCGGAGAGGGAGCCUGAGAAACGGCUACCACAUCCAGGAAGGCAGCAGGCGCGCAAAUUACCCACUCCCGGCACGGGGAGGUAGUGACGAAAAAUAACGAUACGGGACUCAUCCGAGGCCCCGUAAUCGGAAUGAGUACACUCUAAACCCUUUAACGAGGAUCAAUUGGAGGGCAAGUCUGGUGCCAGCCGCCGCGGUAAUUCCAGCUCCAAUAGCGUAUAUUAAAGUUGUUGCGGUUAAAAAGCUCGUAGUCGAAUUUGUGUUUCGUGCCGCCGGUUCAUCGUCCGCGGUGUUACUGGCGAGUCACGAAACGUCCUGCCGGUGGGCUUAGUCUGUUUUCCUUUAUUGGUUGAUGGACGAUGCCCAACUCAAUCCUGCCGCGGUGCUCUUCAUUGAGUGUCGAGGUGGGCCGGUACGUUUACUUUGAACAAAUUAGAGUGCUUAAAGCAGGCUAAAAUUUUGCCUGAAUACUGUGUGCAUGGAAUAAUGGAAUAGGACCUCGGUUCUAUUUUGUUGGUUUUCGGAACUCCGAGGUAAUGAUUAAUAGGAACGGAUGGGGGCAUUCGUAUUGCGACGUUAGAGGUGAAAUUCUUGGAUCGUCGCAAGACGNACAGAAGCGAAAGCAUUUGCCNAAAANGUUUUCAUUGAUCAAGAACGAAAGUUAGAGGUUCGAAGGCGAUCAGAUACCGCCCUAGUUCUAACAGUAAACUAUGCCAGCUAGCGAUCCGCCGACGUUCCUCCGAUGACUCGGCGGGCAGCUUCCGGGAAACCAAAGCUUUUGGGUUCCGGGGGAAGUAUGGUUGCAAAGCUGAAACUUAAAGGAAUUGACGGAAGGGCACCACCAGGAGUGGAGCCUGCGGCUUAAUUUGACUCAACGCGGGAAACCUCACCAGGCCCGGACACCGGAAGGAUUGACANAUUGAGAGCUCUUUCUUGAUUCGGUGGGUGGUGGUGCAUGGCUGUUCUUANUUGGUGGAGCGAUUUGUCUGGUUAAUUCCGAUAACGAACGANACUCUANCCUGCUAAAUAGGCGUAUUUUGACAUCCUAAAGGCCCGUUGGCAUUUGGUUCUCAUUUANGGGUUCCUUUUGUCAAGCGGUUCUUACUGUCAGCGUACAAACAAUUCUUCUUAGAGGGACAGGCGGCUUCUAGCCGCACGAAAUUGAGCAAUAACAAGUCUGUGAUGCCCUUAGAUGUUNUGGGCCGCACGCGCGCUACACUGAAGGAAUCAGCGUGUCCUCCCUGGCCGAGUGGCCCGGGUAACCCGCUGAACCUCCUUCGUGCUAGGGAUUGGGGCUUGCAAUUGUUCCCCAUGAACGAGGAAUUCCCAGUAAGCGCGAGUCAUAAGCUCGCGUUGAUUACGUCCCUGCCCUUUGUACACACCGCCCGUCGCUACUACCGAUUGAAUGAUUUAGUGAGGUNUUCAGACCGAUGCGCGGGAGCGUUUCGGCGUUCUNGAUGCGUCAGGGAAGAUGACCAAACUUGAUCAUUUAGAGGAAGU
rnacentral:rRNA from 1 species